UGAGGAAUAUUGGGCAAUGGGCGCAAGCCUGACCCAGCAACGCCGCGUGAAGGAAGACGGUUUUCGGAUUGUAAACUUCUUUUGAGAGGGACGAUAAUGACGGUACCUCUUGAAUAAGCCACGGCUAACUACGUACCAGCAGCCGCGGUAAUACGUAGGUGGCAAGCGUUGUCCGGAUUUACUGGGUGUAAAGGGCGAGUAGGCGGAUCUGCAAGUCAGAUGUGAAAUCCCGGGGCUUAACCCCGGAACUGCAUUUGAAACUGUAGGUCUUGAGUGAUGGAGAGGCAGGCGGAAUUCCCGGUGUAGCGGUGGAAUGCGUAGAUAUCGGGAGGAACACCAGUGGCGAAGGCGGCCUGCUGGACAUUAACUGACGCUGAGGAGCGAAAGCGUGGGGAGCAAACAGG
rnacentral:rRNA from 1 species